GUAUCGUCUUGCCUGUCUGCUGUCUAGUGGCAAAUCUGGAUUCAAAAAAACAGCCUUCCUGUUAGGGCUGAGCGCAGAAAACGAAGAGACGCUUCACAUUCAGCAUCCGCAGUAGGUGAAGCACCGACUUGGGGAGAACUCUGAGCCAGGAUCAUCACAGCCUCUGGAAACAGUGUUGGAUGGUUAAUAACAGUACCUCCUCUCUGAGGCUCUCAGAACAUUGAGGAACACUCAAUGCAGGUCUGGUCUCCUCCAGCCCGGAGUCAGGAUUCCAGGCGUGGCCGCAGGCAUUUCUUCACUCAAUACACUUUGGCUCGGAAGAUGCUGGAGUGAAAAGUACAACAGCCCUGCCCUGGAUCUUCGGUUCUAGGCGGAAGGACCACCGUGGGACUAAGAAGCUGUAGACUGUCAGAUGAGACAGUCUUAAAACCCAGAAGACGUCGGGCGUGGUGGUGCACGCCUUUAAUCCCAGCCCUUAGGAGGUCUCUGUGAGUUCGAGGCCAGCCUGGUCUACAUAGCUAGUUUCAGACUAGCUGGGGCUACAGGGAGAUCCUAUCUCAAAAAGACAAAAAAUAAAAACAGACCUAGAAGAUGGGGCCUGGGGACCGCAACACAGCUGGUCCAGUAGUUCCGGGCCAAUAUAAAACCCGGCUGGGCGAUGCACGCCUGUAAACCCACAGUUCUGGAAGGUGGAAGCAGGAGCAUCAGGAUUCAAGGUCAUUCCCAGCCACAAGCAAGUUUGAAACCUUUGUGGGCUACAUAAGACCUUGUCUAAAAAAACCUCUUCGUAGAAAUCCUUCGAAAGGAUUCCAGAUCCACGGGGUUUAGCCUGGUAUCACUGGAGUGGAGAAAAAUAAUAAAAAGGUAGCUGGGUGUGGUGGUGCUACACCUUUAAUCCCAACACUGGAGGCAGAGGCUGGCAGAUCUCUUUAAGUGCAAGACCAGCCUGGUCUACAUGGAGAGUUCCAGGCCAGCUGGGGCUACUGGGAGACCCUGUCUCAAAAAGAUCAAAAAGGAAAAAACAAUGGCAUUAGUAUGAUUGUGGCUCACGGUUUUGAGCAGGUGACAUGUUAAUUGCUUUGUGCAUAUUUUGUUUUUCAUCAUCAAGACAGCUGGAAGUGGUCCCUCCUGUUAUCUGGGAGAAAAUCAGGCUCAGGAAGGUUAAGUCACUUGCCCAAGGUCACACAGCUUGGCAGUGAACAGACCAGCAUUGGGAUCUGAGACUGAAGACUGACUGAACUGUCUGAAAUACAUGUAUGAGACCCAGGUGGGGUGACUGGCCAGGAGAGAUCCUCAGUACUAGUCCUCCCUAAGUGCUAGGGUUGGUGGUGGGGUGACCUCCAAAGGUGAAGGAUGGCCAGGCAGGGCCUUUGUUUCUGUGGACCAGCCAGUUGUAAUGACCACCUUGCAGCCUGUCUCUGAAAUCAGUGCACAGAACAAGGGUGUGCAGAGCCAUCACCCAUAUCUAUUCUGGGAGAUGCUUUUGUUGUCUGGGAAGCACUUGACACCUCUCCAGUCUCUGGAGCCAGGUACUGGUGGCUUUGGGGAGGGAGGGUGGAAGGGAGGAAGCAUGGAUGAGAUGGUGAGGGGAGAGGGUGUGGGUGGAGGAGCCUGUAUGGCUGAAUACUCUGGAGCAGUAACAAAGACAGUGUCAGCCAGGCAGGCUGUGUCUGACGCCAAACAGGCAGAAUCACCGCCACCUCUCCCAGCCUGGAGUGAUUAAAUUACACAUAAAGCCCAUCGACUCUGUGCUGGCUAUCCCCUAGGGGUGGGAAAGGCCUCCUUGCCAUUCUGGGCUCCAAGACUGUUGUAAUGGUUCCUAUCAAUGGAAAGUUGGGUAGAAAAGCACCUUCCUGCUGUAGUGAAGAUAGGUCCGUGACCUGUCUAGAUUCUUAACUAGUUCAACCCUUCCCAGCUUGGUGCAACUACCUUUCCUGGCCUGUUAGACUCUAGUUUGAAAUGUGACUAGGUUAGGAACCUGGUCUCUGUUUGGGAAGCUGGGGUACUAUAUGAAUCCCUUGUCUUGCAUCUCUAAGAAAUCUGAGGAUUAGAGGGAUGACUCUGAUUGAGUGCUUGCUGCUCUUGUAGAGGACCUGGGUUUAUUUCCCAAUACCCAUGUAGCAGCUAGCAACCAUCUGUAACUGCAGUUCUAGGAGAUUUGACACC